rnacentral:rRNA from 1 species
AGCAGUCGCCGCGGUAAUACAGAGGGUGCAAGCGUUAAUCGGAAUUACUGGGCGUAAAGCGCGCGUAGGUGGUUUGUUAAGUUGGAUGUGAAAGCCCCGGGCUCAACCUGGGAACUGCAUCCAAAACUGGCAAGCUAGAGUACGGUAGAGGGUGGUGGAAUUUCCUGUGUAGCGGUGAAAUGCGUAGAUAUAGGAAGGAACACCAGUGGCGAAGGCGACCACCUGGACUGAUACUGACACUGAGGUGCGAAAGCGUGGGGAGCAAACAGGAUUAGAUACCCCUGUAGUCCCUGUCUCUUAUAC